rnacentral:rRNA from 1 species
CCUACGGGUGGCAGCAGUGGGGGAUAUUGCACAAUGGGGGAAACCCUGAUGCAGCGACGCCGCGUGUGGGAAGACGGUCCUCUGGAUUGUAAACCACUGUCCCCAGGGACGAAGAUGACGGUACCGGGGGAGGAAGCUCCGGCUAACUACGUGCCAGCAGCCGCGGUAAUACGUAGGGAGCGAGCGUUGUCCGGAAUUACUGGGUGUAAAGGGAGCGUAGGCGGGGAUGCAAGUUGGGUGUCAAAACUACCGGCUCAACUGGUAGUCGCACUCAAAACUGCAGCUCUUGAGUGAAGUAGAGGCAGGCGGAAUUCCUAGUGUAGCGGUGGAAUGCGUAGAUAUUAGGAGGGACACCAGUGGCGAAGGCGGCCUGCUGGGCUUUUACUGACGCUGAAGCUCGAAAGUGUGGGGAGCAAACAGGAUUAGAUACCCCUGUAGUUC